rnacentral:rRNA from 1 species
UACGAAGGGGGCUAGCGUUGUUCGGAAUCACUGGGCGUAAAGCGCGCGUAGGCGGACCGUUAAGUCGGAGGUGAAAGCCUGGGGCUCAACCCCAGAACUGCCUUCGAUACUGGCGGUCUCGAGUCCGGGAGAGGUGAGUGGAACUGCCAGUGUAGAGGUGAAAUUCGUAGAUAUUGGCAAGAACACCAGUGGCGAAGGCGGCUCACUGGCCCGGUACUGACGCUGAGGUGCGAAAGCGUGGGGAGCAAACAGGAUUAGAUACCCUAGUAGUCC